UUAUUUACAUCAGUCAUUACAAAAACCUUACAAUAUUAUAUAUUACAAAACACUUCUCUCCAUAUUUCAAAUUAGAAGAAAACAGAAAUAAAAACCGAAAAUUAAAUAUUUCAUUACAGUUAAACACAUUCAAAAUAGCUCUUGAAUAUUAAAUAAGCAAAUGAUUUCGGAAUUCAUUGCUUUUAACACAACCUAUCAAUACUGGUGGUCAAAUUGAGUGUUUUCAAACUUUAAGACCAUUAGAAUAUGCAUAUAUUUUCUUCACUCUUUACUUCUGAUGUUUUCCUCUUUUUCAAGAACCUAUUAUAUGCAUUGAAUAAUAAAAUAGAUUUUUUUACCCAUCAAUUUGACCAAACUUGGUAGGAAUACUCUAAUUAGUUCAUACAUAUAUCGAGAACACAAUGUCCUAUAGAUACUAUUCCCCAACCUGACUUGACCUGCCUUGUCAGGUAAUUCCAAAGUGUUACCAGGUCAGCAAUCAGUAGUCGAGUUGAGAGCAUAAGAAUGCUUAAGUAAUAACUUCACAGUUAACAUAUUAUUACGUAUAUUGCACAAUGACAUUAAAAAUACUUCAAAAGGGCACACAUUGUGGUUCUCUACAUUCUUAAAUAUACCGAUGAUAUAGAAAUUUCAUAAAUUUAAGAUUUAAAAAUCUUGUUAAAAUUAGAAACAAAAUGUUUGUGGACAAAUUUAGUAGAAAUGCAUAGAUUCACUGUAUGAAUGUUGUGGAGGGGAGCAGUUAUUCACAGGACUUUUAAACCCAGAAAAAAAUUAAGAUACCCUAUAAGUAAAUCUUUAUUAACCGUGGAAGACUAACGUCAUAACAAAUGUUAUAUAUCUACAUACUUAUAACAGUGACCAGAUAUCUCAGUUUCACUAACUGUACUCCCCUGAACUGCUGUUAUAGUUUGUAAAUGGUACGGUAUCUUGUGAGCUUCCUAGAGAGGUUUUCUUUUAGCUGAAAACUCACUACCAAUUCUACCGUAUAAUAAUGAACCACGCAGUAUUUCAUAUUAUAAUCAGUAUCCGAGCUCAAUUCAAAUGUGUUUAACUUUAAAUGGUGUAAAAACAUGAGAGAAUUAAAUACAUUCCUUUAAAUUUACUCAUCAAAAUAAAGUUUUGUAAAUUACACAAAGUGUAAUUUUCCACUUUACCUUUCGAUAUUAAUGUAAUCGAGUACCGAUCUGGUAUAACUCAAGAUUUAUGCUACAUACAACACAACAGGAAUUGCAACAUUGGUUUCACUAUAGUGAACUAAAAUUUUCAUCGUGACGCAUAUUGGAUCACUAUUUGAAUCAUAAAGAGUGCUGUAAUUUAUUUAUUUAUUUAGUUCGCAUAUGAAUGUGUAGUGUGUUUACCUUAUAGUCAAUUAUCAGAUCCUGAACUAUAAAAUGUAAAAAUAGGAAGUGCUAUCACACAAGCAAAUUUAGGGGUUCGGAUUGGCUUGCAAUUUUAUUUAUUUAGCUAAAUGGGUAUUAAAGCUUCGAAGUGUAAAUACUACUUUGAAGUAUAGGUAAUUAUUAGGCUAUGACAAUGUAAAUCCGUUAGAAUUGUCUGUUUGUUAUCUUAUUAAUGUUUGAAGAAAAAAUUUUAUACUGAGUAAAGCAGUUCAUUACAGUUGCAUAUCGUAAACAGUAUUGAAGACAAUGAUAUUCCAGAAAAUUAAUAAGAAAAUCUCUCCUGCAAUGGUAGGUUUUGAAAAGAUACUAGAGUAUUAGUACUAUCGCUAUUUCUAAGAUUAUUAUUUGAGUUGGUUAAAGUAACAUUCAGCCCAGCAAUGUCUUAUGACAUGAAUUUCACAAAUUAUCAUUCAGUUCAUUUGGACUUUUUACAGUAAAAUGAUAACAUAAACAUAUGACUACAUAAAUAUGCAUUACACAAGGAAAGAAGUGACAGAGCAG